ensembl:snRNA U6 U6 spliceosomal RNA
GUGCUUGCUUUGGCAGCACAUAUAUACUAAAAUUGGGAUGAUACAGAGAAGCUGAGCAUGGCCUCUGCACAAGGAUGACACGCAAAUUCGUGAAGCGUUCCAUAUUUUU